rnacentral:ncRNA from 1 species
AAGUCCCACCUGACUAAAGCUUAGCCGGCAGGUCAGUAGCUGAACCCACGGGCCAGCCUCGCAAGGGGAGUCCGAAGCUGGGGGAUGCAAGGAUGUAGGCUCUAUAUUGAGCCCCGAAAUAUGUAUAGUUGUGGACAUUAGGAUAAUUGUGCACUCAGCAUGCUGAAUGCAUGAGAAAGCUGACAGUUUGUAGCGGCUGGAAGGCAGCAGUCCAGGGCACGCUAAGGCGAGUGUCCGGGACUCCACCGGGGUCUUAGAA